rnacentral:rRNA from 1 species
GGAAUAUUGGACAAUGGGGGCAACCCUGAUCCAGCAAUGCCGCGUGAGUGAUGAAGGCCUUCGGGUUGUAAAGCUCUUUUGCCAGGGACGAUGAUGACGGUCCCUGGAGAAUAAGCCCCGGCUAACUUCGUGCCAGCAGCCGCGGUAAUACGAAGGGGGCAAGCGUUGUUCGGAAUUACUGGGCGUAAAGGGCGCGUAGGCGGCCCGCUAAGUCGAACGUGAAAUCCCCAGGCUCAACCUGGGAACUGCGUCCGAUACUGGCAGGCUUGAAUCCGGGAGAGGGAUGCAGAAUUCCAGGUGUAGCGGUGAAAUGCGUAGAUAUCUGGAGGAAUACCGGUGGCGAAGGCGGCAUCCUGGACCGGCAUUGACGCUGAGGAGCGAAAGCUAGGGGAGCAAAC